rnacentral:rRNA from 1 species
GACGUAGGGGGCCAGCGUUGCUCGGAAUUACUGGGUGUAAAGGGUUCGUAGGCGGUGUGGCAAGUCGGGAGUGAAAUCUCUGGGCUCAACCCAGAGUCUGCUUCCGAAACUGCUGUGCUUGAGUGUGGGAGAGGCGCGUGGAAUUGCAGGUGUAGCGGUGAAAAUGCGUAGAUAUCUGCAGGAACACCCGUGGCGAAAGCGGCGCGCUGGACCACUACUGACGCUGAGGAACGAAAGCUAGGGGAGCAAACAGG